rnacentral:rRNA from 1 species
UACGUAGGGGGCAAGCGUUGUCCGGAUUUAUUGGGCGUAAAGAGCUCGUAGGCGGUUUGUCGCGUCUGCCGUGAAAGUCCGGGGCUCAACUCCGGUUCUGCAGUGGGUACGGGCAGACUAGAGUGCAGUAGGGGAGACUGGAAUUCCUGGUGUAGCGGUGAAAUGCGCAGAUAUCAGGAGGAAUACCGGUGGCGAAGGCGGUUCUCUGGGCCUGUACUGACGCUGAGGAGCGAAAGCGUGGGGAGCGAACAGG